UAGUAUACUGCUCAGAAUGUAAUCAGUUGAUCAGUAAUCAGUUUUUUGAGUUGGUUACAAAUUGUCUUUUAUCCAGACUGGAUUGGGAAGUUUCGUGUUUAUGGAGUCUACAUAAAUAUGAGUUGCUUAAAACAUUUUAAGAUACUUAAUGAGAUACUGCUAGCUGUUUUUUUAAGGCUGCUUUUGAGCACCAUCUUUAUGACAUAAUUCAAGUGAUUUGUGAGUUCUGACAAAUCCAUUUUAUCGUGGUCAACUUUUUUCUUUCAGGUACUACAGAGCGGGUGUGUCUGAUCCAGGGAACAGUUGAAGCACUAAAUGCAGUUCAUGGCUUCAUUGCAGAGAAGAUUCGAGAAAUGCCUCAAAAUGUGGCCAAGACAGAGCCUGUCAGCAUCCUACAGCCUCAGACCACUGUCAAUCCAGACCGCAUCAAACAAAAACUGCUAUGAGGAUCUAAUCUCUCCAAUAGAGGAAGUAUCAUACCAGCUUUAUACUACCAUGUUAUAACCCAGGAGAACAGAAUGCAGUUUUCAUAAAAUACUCAGGAGACUGAGCUGUUUUGGCUUCUCAAUUAGCUCACAGAGCUUUACAUUUGACCUCUAAACUAAUAGCAGCUACUAUAAAGAGUGGGAGAAAAGUCUAUAGUGUCUUAACCCAUCACCUUAUUCAGAAACCGUUGAAGCUUCUUUACAUUAUGACAGAAUUUUCCUUCCAGCUAUGCAGUUAUUUUAUAGAUAAAAGUGUUUUAGCAGCCUACCCAGAAAGCAUAUGGAACUGCAGUUUGCUAUUGCAGAGGUUAGCAUUAUACGUAAGGAAGAGCACGUGAUCUUGUAGUGAACUCUGCUAUAACGAAGAGUUUAUCCUGACUGGCCUUCUGAGAUCCCUUCCAACCAGAAUCACGCUUUGAUUCUAUGAAGUCUUUAGUUAUCACAACGUGAACAAAGGUUUCUUCCUUGAAAAUCUGGUCUAAAGCUUUCACAUAUAGAACUUCCAAUUAAUAUUUUUAUUUCAACUUUUUCAGUAGAGCAGUAACUUCCUAUAGAUCUUUUAACUUCUGUUCCAUUCAUUAAUCACAUUCCCAGAUAUUGUAUUUAAAAUGUAUAAAAUUCAGUAUCUGAACUCAGAUUUGUACCUACUUUUUCUUCCAAUAAAAAGAACUACUUGAAUAGGAUUACUUCAGAAAUUCUGAUCAACAACAAAAUAUAUUGGAUCACUCACCAGAUUUAAUGAAAAGCUUAUCUUCUAAGUGUUUAAAUAGAACCUGACUUUGAGAGUACUCAUCAGAAUAUAUUGGUUUAAAAAGAGGAUUUAAUUUUUAUUUUUUUUUAUGCUUUGGAUAUGAUGAGUUGGUCAAACUAGAGCUUUAGUAGAUUUAAGAAGUUUCUUAAAAUGCCUCUCCCAUCUGAUGAACUUUUCUUCUUUCAGCAUCUGCUUCAGAAGAGUUUAUCACCUAGAGCAACCUUAUUAACUUGCAGAAUAUAAGAAAACUCCACAUUUUUCAUUUGAGGAUAAUAAUAAAUAUAAGCUGUUUUGUAAAUCACUGUCUCUUAGUCUUUUCAAUAAUUUCUCAUAAACUUUUCUCAGGUUUGAAUACCAGCAAAGAAUGGCACCAAUUGCCAUUCUUAACCAUGAAUUUUAUGUUACACAGUCAUCAGGAUGAACAAAAGUAAUUUGUUUUCCUAUACUAGAGAGACAGUCAUUUGUAUUAGAUUCCGUGUCAAAAGUUUAGCAUUCCAAUCCCUAGUUCCACAAACAAAACUUAUAGUAUUUUAUCCCUCAUGUGCAUUUGACUUCUGCUGCUAUAUUACUGUUUUAUGAUAUUUUAAUUUUGUUUCAUUUCACCAGUGUUCAAUGUAAUCAUAAUAUGUGUAUGAAAAUGCUUUUUAAACUCAAUGUUCCAUUAAUUGUUGAUGGUUAGCUCUUCAUUGUAUGUGCUUCAAAAGUGGAAUUAGGAAAGAAGAUUGCUUUAGGGGAAUGAACAGUAGCAUUUAGCAUUGCAGAAGUUCUCAUUAUCUUGAGCCUUCUAAGGCUUUGCAGUUUUGAUAGUACUUUUCUAAAUCUCAAAGUAGCCCAGAAUCAAAAGGUGAUUUUUUUUUUUCAUUCUAGUUCUCAGAGUUUUAUGAUCCAUGUAUUCUUACGUAUUUUGUUACCUGUGUUUGGUUACCUACUUGAAUUUUCUUGUAUUUCUACAUAACACCACAUCUUACAUUAGUUCUGUGUUACUGUGACAAGUUUUGAGGAAAAAAAGUCCUUCUUUGUCCAUCUUAUUGUAAUCUUCAUCGUAAAUCACAAAGUCCCCCAGGAAUUGCUCUGAU
rnacentral:lncRNA from 1 species